AUGUACCGCGAACGGCAUACUUUAAUAAUUUAUGAUGAUCUCUCCAAACAGGCACAAGCUUAUCGCCAAAUGUCCCUUCUAUUAAGAAGACCUCCCGGCCGUGAGGCUUAUCCAGGGGAUGUUUUUUAUUUGCAUUCACGCCUUUUAGAAAGAGCCGCUAAAUUAAAUUCUCUUUUAGGCGAAGGAAGUAUGACCGCUUUACCAAUAGUUGAGACUCAAUCUGGAGACGUUUCCGCCUAUAUUCCUACUAAUGUAAUCUCCAUUACAGAUGGACAAAUAUUCUUAUCUGCGGAUCUAUUCAAUGCCGGAAUUCGACCCGCUAUUAAUGUGGGUAUUUCUGUUUCCAGAGUAGGAUCCGCGGCUCAAAUUAAAGCCAUGAAACAAGUAGCUGGCAAAUCAAAAUUGGAACUAGCUCAAUUCGCAGAGUUACAGGCCUUUGCACAAUUCGCCUCUGCUCUCGAUAAAACAAGUCAGAAUCAAUUGGCAAGGGGUCGACGAUUAAGGGAAUUGCUUAAACAAUCCCAGGCAAAUCCUCUCCCAGUGGAAGAGCAGAUAGCUACUAUUUAUACCGGAACAAGAGGAUAUCUUGAUUCGUUAGAAAUUGAACAGGUAAAUAAAUUUCUGGAUGAGUUACGUAAACAUCUAAAAGAUACUAAACCUCAAUUCCAAGAAAUUAUAUCUUCUAGCAAGACAUUCACCGAGCAAGCGGAAAUCCUUUUGAAGGAAGCUAUUCAGGAACAGCUGGAACGGUUUUCUCUUCAGUAA
rnacentral:rRNA from 1 species